rnacentral:rRNA from 1 species
UACAGAGGCCUCAAGCGUUGUUCGGAAUUACUGGGCGUAAAGGGCGCGUAGGCGGCCUGCUAAGUCGAACGUGAAAUCCCUGGGCUCAACCCAGGAACUGCGUCCGAUACUGGUUGGCUUGAAUCCGGGAGAGGGAUGUGGAAUUCCAGGUGUAGCGGUGAAAUGCGUAGAUAUCUGGAGGAACACCGGUGGCGAAGGCGACAUCCUGGACCGGUAUUGACGCUGAGGCGCGAAAGCCAGGGGAGCAAACGGG